rnacentral:rRNA from 1 species
UACGUAGGGGGCGAGCGUUGUCCGGAAUCAUUGGGCGUAAAGCGCGUGUAGGCGGCUCGGUAAGUCUGCUGUGAAAGUCCAGGGCUCAACCCUGGAAUGCCGGUGGAAACUGUCGAGCUUGAGUCCGGAAGAGGCGAGUGGAAUUCCUGGUGUAGCGGUGAAAUGCGCAGAUAUCAGGAAGAACACCCGUGGCUAAGGCGGUUCUCUAGUACGGUACUGACGCUGAGACGCGAAAGCGUGGGGAGCGAACAGG